AAGCCAUGCAUGUGCAAGUAUGAACCAAUUUGAACUGUGAAACUGCGAAUGGCUCAUUAAAUCAGUUAUAAAUUGUUUGACGGUACAUGCUACUCGGAUAACUGUAGUAAUUCUAGAGCUAAUACNUGCAAGAAACCCCGACUUUUGGGAGGGGCACAUUUAUUAGAUAUAAGGCUGACGCGGGCUUUGCUCGCUGAUCUGAUGAUUCAUUAUAACUCGACGGAUCGCAUGGCCUUUGUGUCGGCGACGCAUCAUUCAAAUUUCUGCCCU
rnacentral:ncRNA from 1 species